GUUUUACAAUAUAUGAAGAGAGGUUUAAAAGUGUACGUUUGAAUAUAAUGUUAAAUCACUUUUCUUCUUGCAUUUUACAUUAUGGUUAGGAAUAAUGGAAAUAUCAAGUCUGGCUGGGUUUGACUGGAAGAUAUUUGACUUCAGAACGUGCAUGAGUCUUUUCACAGCAGAGAUACUAGGAGGCAAUGCAAUGGAAAGCUGAUCCUCCUGAGGAACACUGGCUGGAAGUUGAUGUGGUUCACUGCUGUUCCGUCUGUCCAGUAAGAAGUACUUUCAAGGCCACUCCAUCUAUGGUAGCACCAGCGAGAA
rnacentral:lncRNA from 1 species